rnacentral:rRNA from 1 species
CGGAGGUGGCAAGCGUUACUCGGAAUUAUUGGGUGUAAAGGGCGGGCAGGCGGUCUAAUAAGUGGGUGGUGAAAUACUCCGGCUCAAUCGGAGAACUGCCUUCCAAACUGUUAGACUUGAGUAUGACAGAGGAAAAUGGAAUUCUCGGUGUAAGGGUGAAAUCUGUAGAUAUCGAGAAGAACACCAGCAGCGAAGGCGAUUUUCUGGGUCAUUACUGACGCUCAACCGCGAAAGCUAGGGGAGCAAACAGAAUUAGAUACUCUGGUAGUCCUAGCCGUAAACGAUGAGCACUAGGUGUUGGCUCCUUUAGGAGUCGGUGCCGCAGCUAACGCAUUAAGUGCUCCACCUGGGGACUACGGUCGCAAGGCUA